ACUACCGACUUCUAGCCCUAACUAAUAGUUAUCUGAGACAUCUCUUAUGACGCAGGGCGUUGUGACUUCCACUCUUUUCUCCUUCGCUUGCUAGACGCAAGAGUUUUUCCUGCUUGAUUUCACUUCUGCUCGUAUACAACGUACCUUGCUCACCAGAUUUGCAAUUGAUUUG
rnacentral:snoRNA from 1 species